AAAUUGAAGAGUUUGAUCAUGGCUCAGAUUGAACGCUGGCGGCAGGCUUAACACAUGCAAGUCGAACGGUAACAGGGAGUAGCUUGCUACUUUGCUGACGAGUGGCGGACGGGUGAGUAAAGUAUGGGAAUUUGCCGAAUGGAGGGGGACAACAGUUGGAAACGACUGCUAAUACCGCAUAAAGUCGCGAGACCAAAGGGUGGGACCUUCGGGCCACUUGCCAUUUGAUGAGCCCAUAUGAGAUUAGCUAGUUGGUGGGGUAAGGGCUCACCAAGGCGACGAUCUCUAGCUGGUUUGAGAGGAUGACCAGCCACACUGGGACUGAGACACGGCCCAGACUCCUACGG
rnacentral:rRNA from 1 species